GACGAACGCUGGCGGCGUGCCUAAUACAUGCAAGUCGAGCGGACAGAAGGGAGCUUGCUCCCGGAUGUUAGCGGCGGACGGGUGAGUAACACGUGGGUAACCUGCCUGUAAGACUGGGAUAACUCCGGGAAACCGGAGCUAAUACCGGAUAGUUCCUUGAACCGCAUGGUUCAAGGAUGAAAGACGGUUUCGGCUGUCACUUACAGAUGGACCCGCGGCGCAUUAGCUAGUUGGUGAGGUAACGGCUCACCAAGGCGACGAUGCGUAGCCGACCUGAGAGGGUGAUCGGCCACACUGGGACUGAGACACGGCACAGACUCCUACGGGAGGCAGCAGUAGGGAAUCUUCCGCAAUGGACGAAAGUCUGACGGAGCAACGCCGCGUGAGUGAUGAAGGUUUUCGGAUCGUAAAGCUCUGUUGUUAGGGAAGAACAAGUGCAAGAGUAACUGCUUGCACCUUGACGGUACCUAACCAGAAAGCCACGGCUAACUACGUGCCAGCAGCCGCGGUAA
rnacentral:rRNA from 1 species